rnacentral:lncRNA from 1 species
AAGUGGGGAGUGAAUCAUAAAUUAAAGGAGAACCAAACACAUUAAUGUCUAAUACUGCCUCUUAACAGGAACAUUACAAAUGAUAAUGAGGACACCGUCCAUCUUUGUGGGGGCCAGUAGUGAAUAAGACUGGACCCUUGGUAACAAAGGGCUUCUUCACUCUUCCAGAGCUGCUGUAGGGCCUUGCAGUGGUGAAUGAGCUUUAUAUGAAACA